CUAUGCUGAUGUCUAAAAAAAAGAAGAAAAAAAAAAACCAGAAUGAGCGUAACUACUCCGCCACUAUGAUUUCGAAAACUGUUUCCAUAUUUGCUUAAACAGUGCAUAUAAAUCAGAAAAUUGUUCUUUCUCAAUAACUCAGUGAGGGAGAGCGAUCAGAACUCAGUGUAACUAACUUUCACUCUGCCCUCCACUCCUGUUUCUGCACUGCAUUUAAGUGUUAGAAAAAUGUUCCAUCAGCGGUUUUGGGUUACAUUUCCUAUGGUGUCUUAUGUUUUUCACUACCUCCGUCUGGAUGAUUGUCCGACUGGAUCUUCUUAAUGAAGAGCUCGGCUUCGUCGGCGCUAUUGAAGAUGUGUGAGCGCUCUUUGUAGGUAACAAUAAGCCGGGCAGGAGGGAUCAUACCGUACCGGAGCCCCAGUGAACGUAGUUGUCUCCUCGCCUCCUCAAACUCUUUCAGUUUCUUGUGCGUCUCUGCGGUCACGUCUUGGUAGAAUCUCACCGGGUCAUUUUUGUCGAGGACUUGCUUUUUUGCCCUGGCCGCUCUCAUCACCGCUUCUUUGUCUUUGUAAUUCAGGAACUUCAUAAUGAGGGUUCUAGGUGCAGAGUCAGUCUUGUGUUGUCUUCUUGGUCCAAGCCUGUGAGCUCUUUCCACCGUAAUUUUCCCCCGCAGCGUCUGCAGCUCCAGCGCCUCCGGUAUCCAGCUCUCCAGGAAUCCACAGGUGUCUUCACCUUCCGCGCCUUCGGGUAGAUUAACAAGCCGUACGUUGGAGCGGCGUGAACGAGCCUCCAGGGUUAUUUAGAGAAUAGCUAUGGCCCGGUCCAGUCAGCAGCCUCAGUACAGCUGUAGUAACCCAGAGCAGUCAGCUCCCCCUGCACAGGAUGCUGACCGGCCACACCCAGAAGAGGAGGAGAUAGUGAGAGAUGAGUGUGAUUCAGCAGUGUCUGGAGCUCCACCUGCUGAGCAUGACAUUUCUCAAACCAGAGCUGCAGGCCCUGCUCGCCCUCCCUCGUACUCAGCACGGACAGGGUAGAACCAGUGUCCAUGCCAGAAGAAAAUCUUAAAAAAAAAAAAAGAUGCUGUUUGAAACCAUCCCCAUGUUCACUGGAGGAACCUGCAACCCUCAGUUCAUGGUGUACCAGCUGAAGAUGAAGAUCCACACGUCGAACCCGAGAAGACAAGCUGAUGCUGUUUGAGUUCCCGCAGCCGCUUCCUGUUUGUGGAGACAUCAUGGUGGAGUCCUUCCACAAGUAGAACAAGAUGAUGAGGACGGUGAAGCUGUACUUCACUAAGACGGUAGAAGAAUUAGCUAACUGUGACGCCAGCAGCACGUUGGCCUCUGUGACACUGAACGUUAGCGACACCUGAGAGGGAGUGAGGGAGAGACGGAGGGAGAGAGAGAGAGACACAGACAGCAGGUCAUUACUGUACCUGCACACAUGACAAGACUACAGGUUGUUCCUGCACCUGUGAUGGAGCCGCUCAUACACAUUCAAGGACAAGAGCCACUCACUGCCUCCAUGUUGGCUGCAGCUCCACUCAUGGAUCAAUAACAGCUUCUUGGGGAGCGACUGUACCCAAUGAUUCAGGCCCUUCAGCCAAAUUUGGCUGGUAAAAUUACUGGGAUACUGCUGGAGAUUGACAACUGGGAGCUGCUGUACAUGCUGAAGGCUGCUGAAGAGAUAUUUGAGCUGUUUGAAAGAACGAUAGCAGAGCAGAGCAUAUGACUGUGAGUGUUACUGUGAUCUUUUGGUCUGCAUUGGUAAAUUUCACCCUGAUAUUUUAGUCAUUAACUCUACUAAUUCAUGUGAAACCCUGAGUGGCUUGGCAGGGCAAAACUAGGGCAACAGUGGGUGAUUGCGGUAAAGGAGCACAAGACAGCAGCACAGCAAGUGGCUGCCUUUGCCCCAUCAGAGGAGGAGGUGCAUGUAAGUUCAUCACAUUUCCUGUCAGAACCUGUCAGAACAUUAACCUUAAUUUUUUCUCCUCUGCCAACAGUGGUUUGAUGUCUCCUACAGACUGGUGCAGCCACAACUCCUGAGACCCACCAGGAAUUGCAAGAGGGAUGUGAAAUGGAAACAUUUGAACAGUUGUGAUAAUCUGGGCCUACCUGCUGCACCGGGACAAGUUCCAGGAGGCGCUGGGCUUCUACAGAGAGGUCCUGACACGAGACAAGAAGUGUGUGACCAUCCCCAGUCAGCGGCACUGUGUCAUCUACUACAGCUUCCUGCUGAGGAACCAGCUGCUGUACAAACCCGUCGCUCUGCUCUUCCACAAGAUGCUGUUUGAAACCAUCCCCAUGUUUACUGGAGGAACCUGCAAACCCUGCAAGUCCUGCCACAAGAUGAACAAGAUAAUGAAGAAGAUGAAGUGGAGGACAAGCUCAAAGGUGCAGGCACUGAUGGGAAACCUCCUCAGGCCGCGAUGUGAAGUUCAUUGUGAAAGACUCAGUAGAGGAGAAGAUGGUGGAGAUCCAGAGGGGGAAGCAGGACCUGGUGGAGAAGGCUUUUGGCUCCAAGAACAAUGACAGGAAAACAUCUUGCAUCAAUGACAUCAAGGCUCUGAUGGAGCUAUAGAUGUCUGACAAUGGGCCUGAGCUAAUGUGUCAACAGUGCAACAAGACAAACCUUGAACCAUUACAACAGUUGACUGUGUUCUCUAUUGUUGUCUCAGUUCAUAUCUGAGAGUUUUUGCACACAUUGUUAAUGUUUGCUUCCUACUUUGAAUUUGAUAUUUUGCUUUCAUAGUUUAUAAUUUUUGUUCUAUUUUGAUUCCAGCUGUUUUAUUAAAAUUUUGAUAAGUAGUUUUGUAAGUUUAAUUGUUCUAAGUAGUUGCCAUUAUUUGUUUUGCUUUUAGUCCAGACAUAUAUUUAUGGAUCGCCAACACAUUCAGCACACAAACGAGUGCUUUGGCAGUAUGUACAGUGUUACCUCAUGCCAAUAAAGCCAGUUGAAUUGAGAGAGAGA